AGAUUGAAAGUGGUUUACUGUGGUACCUUUUCCACUGCAAGACAGCAAGAAGCCAUCACUACAAAACCAUAAUUUUUUUGUAAUUUCCAGACAAAUGCCCUGCCCCAAGAAAGUGUAGAUCAUCUCCCUGGAUAAAUCUGGAAAGCACUGCUCCUCCAAGGAUCUUCAAGGAUGUUCUUCACCCAAGAACCUCAAAGCACAAAUAAUUUUAGUAAGGCUGACCUCAUACAGGAACUGAUGCUGUGGAAUUUUUAAGCAAGAUGCCUAAAACCACUUAGUAAGAAGAGCUAAUCUUCUGAUGGAUGGCUGGCACUAAUGAAUUAUUAAAUAAAUGGACAUGUCUGGGGAAGGGACUGAAAAAAGGACUCUCAACUGUCAC